rnacentral:rRNA from 1 species
UAGGGAAUCUUCGGCAAUGGGGGCAACCCUGACCGAGCAACGCCGCGUGAGUGAAGAAGGUUUUCGGAUCGUAAAGCUCUGUUGUAAGUCAAGAACGAGUGUGAGAGUGGAAAGUUCACACUGUGACGGUAGCUUACCAGAAAGGGACGGCUAACUACGUGCCAGCAGCCGCGGUAAUACGUAGGUCCCGAGCGUUGUCCGGAUUUAUUGGGCGUAAAGCGAGCGCAGGCGGUUUGAUAAGUCUGAAGUUAAAGGCUGUGGCUCAACCAUAGUUCGCUUUGGAAACUGUCAAACUUGAGUGCAGAAGGGGAGAGUGGAAUUCCAUGUGUAGCGGUGAAAUGCGUAGAUAUAUGGAGGAACACCGGUGGCGAAAGCGGCUCUCUGGUCUGUAACUGACGCUGAGGCUCGAAAGCGUGGGGAGCGAACAGGAUUAGAUACCCUGGUAGUCCACGCCGUAAACGAUGAGUGCUAGGUGUUGGAUCCUUUCCGGGAUUCAGUGNCGCAGCUAACGCAUUAAGCACUCCGCCUGGGGAGUACGACCGCAAGGUUG